rnacentral:rRNA from 1 species
GAGUUUGAUCGUGGCUCAGAAUGAACGCUGGCGGCGUGCCUAACACAUGCAAGUCGCACGAGAAAGGUCUGGUGUAAGCUGGGCCGAGUAAAGUGGCGCACGGGUGAGUAACGCGUGGGUGACCUACCCCUGAGUCUGGGAUAACUUCGCGAAAGCGGGGCUAAUACCGGAUAGGCUCUACCAUUCGUUUGGUAGGGAAGCCGGCCUCUCGAAGAAGCUGGUGCUUGGGGAUGGGCCCGCGUCCUAUCAGCUAGUUGGUGGGGUAAUGGCCCACCAAGGCGACGACGGGUAGCUGGUCUGAGAGGAUGAUCAGCCACACUGGCACUGGAACACGGGCCAGACUCCUACGGGAGGCAGCAGUGAGGAAUUUUGCGCAAUGGCCGCAAGGCUGACGCAGCAACGCCGCGUGGGUGAAGAAGGCCUCGGUCGUAAGACCUCGUC